CCCCCCAUGGCUCUGCCAAACAGCUGUAGGGCAGAGGUGAGGUGCCUGGUGUUGGUCCACCACCAACAACACAUUAAUAGCCAGUCCUGAGGAUGGACCAUAAAUGGAAAAGUCACAGAAAACUUCUUAAUCUAAAUUCCUCUGGUGGGAGAAGGAAAAAACCUCUGAAGAUUACAUCAGGGCAUUCGCGUCACACACCGCUCAUCAUCCACACUUUGUAACAAAUUCUAAUAGAAGAAGUACUCAGACAAGGGAGAAGGAAAAAAAACUCUGAAGGUUACAUCAGGGCAUUCGGGUCACACACCGCUCAUCAUCCACACUUUGUAACAAAUUCUAAUAGAAGAAGUGACUCAGACAAGGCUGCAGAUCGGUGAUACAGAUGGAGCAGGCGGGAGGAAUCCACCAUGGGCCUCUCGGGAUGUAUUCUCCAGGAUCCCUCCGGUACCAGCGUAUGGCCCAGCCGUGAUGUUCCUUACGCUCUCUCU